rnacentral:lncRNA from 1 species
UUCCUUCUAUUCUUCUCUCUAUACGUUGGUGUUGUAACCAAUAAUCACCGAUGCGAUAUUCUGUCCGAUUGAUUCGGGAACCAACUAAUGAAUGCCAAAGUGCUGUACUUUGUGAAUUUCGUUAAACGAAUACCAAAGUGCUGUCUAAACAAGACUAUACUUUGUGAAUUUCGUUAAGGUUUUGAUCUCGUGACCAUCGUUAGGUUUGAUUAGGUUUAACACUAAUACGUAUUCCAUUCUGUUAAACUAAUGUUUAACUACUCGAAACUCUACCCCAUACACUUACAAUCAAAAUGGAUGCUUAAUCAUCAGAGGAUUCAGAACUAUAAAGUAGAUGCUUAGAAUCAAGAUGCUUGUUUAAUCAAGACUAUAUGCUAACAAGUAUGUGGGGGUUUUGUGCACAUUACUACUAACGAUUUAUCACGUUAUGUGGGCGAGCCUAAUUAGUGAUAUGUCCACGGUCAUAGAUACGGUCGAGUGACAACUGAACCAGCUAAUUAAUAGAAAGGGGCAAAUGUAAAAACUCUUGAUGCUGUGAAUUAUAACAAAGUUAUAAUUGCAGUGAUUAAGUCUUUGCCAAUCUUGAAAGAGCAAAUGUAAAAACUCUUAAUGCUGUAAAUGAUAACAAAUGUGUUUUUGUACAAAAUGAAUGAACUCACCAGUAUUUCCUGCUGACCAAAAUCUUUUUAAAACGUGUUUCAAGUGAUUACGGUAGAUCGGAAUAAGAGCUGUGAUACGGCACCGAAAGGCUUAAAGAAGUGGCUUAUUUUAUCAAAAAAAAUAAAUUAAAUUAAAUGUUGUUUCAUAUAUUCGGGUUUAUCCCAUAUUAAAGCUACCUUUGUAAAACAUGGGUUUCUUUCCAUCUAUUUAAUAAAUAAAAUCCGGUGUUUUCUAAACUCUGAUAUUUUUCCUAACUCACGGUCCUGAUGAACAUUUCCGCUGCAAUGUUUUUAAAAUAACAACCGGUACCACUUGACUGUUCACGGCUCUCGUCCAUGGUGUGGUCGGGGGUCGUGACAGUUCUCGCAAUAAAGGGUGGUUCCUAACGAAUCCUUCUCCUAUAUAUAUAUAUAGAAACGGGAUCAGGAGAAAACGCUCAACAGUGUGAGAACGCAUCCUGGCCCAAUACGUGUCCCGUGGCAUUAAGAAGGGUGGUGAGGCUUUUUUGUCUUUUCAUUCUUCUUUUAUUUUCACAACGCGGUAUAAUAUUUUAUGUCGUAUAAGUUUUUUUUGGCAUUAAUUGUAUUUAUUAAACUUUUUGGCGUUUAAUUAAUUGUUUUUGUGUCACAUAUAUAAUUUUUUGGCGUUAUAUCGUUUCCUGGUUAAUUUUUUCGGCGUUUGUGGCGUUUUGUAUAAUAAUUAACCACGAGUAAUUAAUAUUUGCAUAAGAUUAAAAUAAGUCCAAUUUUUCUUUUUGGCAUUUAUUGAAUUUUUUGGCGUUUUAAUACCCUUUUACAAGGUGCUUUGCCAGCAGCUGUUCUCCCAGUUUUCAUUCUACUAGCGUUUUGGUGUUUGUAGUUUUUGGCGUUUUAUAUAAUAAUGUAUUUUAUUUAUUGAGAACUAGGUUAAUGCCCGCGCGAUGCGCGGCUUCAUCCAAAACCAUAUUAUUUACUUUGAAAUAUAAUAUUUUGUACAAACGCAUACAUUGGAAGAAAAAAAACAGAAAACUAUUAAGAUAAACAUCAAGUGUAUAAAUAAAAUAAAAUACAAAGUCUCAUGUUACAUAAAUUAGUGAUACAGUGGAUACACAAUUUAAAGAUAGUCGAGUCACUUUUGAAGAUGCAUAUCCUUCGAGUUACCAAAAACGUUCCAAGGGUUCUUUGGAAACACUUCAUGAGUAAUGUAAAAUAGAAAGACACAAAGAGCGUUAAAGAGAGAGGCUUACCACCGUUUUUGUGAACAAAUUUCUUCCAAGAGUUCUUCGGAAACACUGCAUGAGUGACAUAUGCACUGACCUUGGUUGCACCAUGAGCUGCCAAAACUUUCUGCAAUAAAAGCAUUAUUAUUGUUAUUAUUAAUAUUUUUCGUUUUUUGGACCCAUACAUGUAAACUCACUCGAAUCCACGAAUACCCUGCUAACCAAAGGGAUAAGGUAAAACACAACUUGCACCAUACACCUAGUAAAACAAAUAAGUAAGCAUACAUCAUGUUGAAAAAGUACCUGACAUUCGAUUAAAGUACCUCCAGAUUGCACCAGAUCAUAAACGAUAACCACAUGGCAACCACUGGGAUUACCUUCUUUAACCCGUACAGUUCGUUUAUCACCCUCGCGAACUUUUGCACAAACCACCUGUUCCAUCGUCAAUAUAUCUAAAGUUAAUUACAACAGAAAACUAAAUAAAGUUCGAUGCUACCAUCGUCAAUAUAUCUAAAGUUGAUCAAAGGUCGUUUAAAUUUAUGGUAAGAAUAAAGCAGUGAUCAAUGGAGAGAACAAUCCCUGUUGAAAUCAAAUCAAGUGAAAACAUCACACCCAAAGUUAAAAUACAAUAAAUCAAUAAAAUGGAACUAAAAUAAGAUCAAAUCGAUGAGAAACGCACCUGGCCCAGCCCAAUGGUUAAUAACCACAAUUGAAGCAUCAAUGACAAAAAUUUAACUUGUUGGCUUCAAAUAACAUACAAAUAUUGUGAUAACCCAUCGUUAGAUUC